rnacentral:rRNA from 1 species
AACGCGAAGAACCUUACCUACUCUUGACAUCCAGAGAACUUAGCAGAGAUGCUUCGGUGCCUUCGGGAACUCUGAGACAGGUGCUGCAUGGCUGUCGUCAGCUCGUGUUGUGAAAUGUUGGGUUAAGUCCCGCAACGAGCGCAACCCUUAUCCUUUGUUGCCAGCGAUUAGGUCGGGAACUCAAAGGAGACUGCCAGUGAUAAACUGGAGGAAGGUGGGGAUGACGUCAAGUCAUCAUGGCCCUUACGAGUAGGGCUACACACGUGCUACAAUGGCAUAUACAAAGAGAAGCGACCUCGCGAGAGCAAGCGGACCUCAUAAAGUAUGUCGUAGUCCGGAUUGGAGUCUGCAACUCGACUCCAUGAAGUCGGAAUCGCUAGUAAUCGUGGAUCAGAAUGCCACGGUGAAUACGUUCCCGGGUCUUGUACACACCG